GCAGGGUGCUCGUGGUGGAGGGAAAAUAGUCUUGAAGGGACUUUAUUCUGGAUUGGCUGGAAAUCUUGCUGGUGUAUUACCGGCUUCUGCAAUUUUUGUUGGAGUUUAUGAACCUACAAAGCAGAAAUUGUUAAAGAUGUUUCCUGAAAAUCUAAGCGCUUUAGCUCAUUUUACUGCGGGGGCUUGUGGAGGCAUUGCUGCAUCACUCAUUCGUGUUCCAACGGAGGUUGUAAAGCAAAGGAUGCAAACGGGGCAAUUCACAUCUGCCUCUGCUGCUGUUCGCCUUAUUGCUGCUAAGGAGGGCUUCAAAGGACUCUAUGCGGCAAAGAGAGAGCUCAAUGAUCCUG